rnacentral:rRNA from 1 species
AUCAUCGAAUCUUUGAACGCACCUUGCGCUCCUUGGUAUUCCGAGGAGCAUGCCUGUUUGAGUGUCAUGGAAUUCUCAACUUAUAAAUCCUUGUGAUCUAUAAGCUUGGACUUGGAGGCUUGCUGGCCCUUGUUGGUCGGCUCCUCUUGAAUGCAUUAGCUCGAUUCCGUACGGAUCGGCUCUCAGUGUGAUAAUUGUCUACGCUGUGACCGUGAAGUGUUUUGGCGAGCUUCUAACCGUCCAUUAGGACAAUUUUUUUUAACAUCUGACCUCAAAUCAGGUAGGACUACCCGCUGAACUUAAGCAUAUCAAUAAGCGGAGGAA